AUCUCGCGCUUCGGGAAGACCGUCCUCCUCUGCUUAGCCCUGUUCGCCGCAUGGCACCUCUGCUCGACCCUGUUCGCCGACGCGCCUCCCGGUGGCCACUCUGCGGAGGAGAAAGCUGUAGUCAGCGACGCGGCCGGGAACGCGUCUGGACUGCCUCUCGCCAGGGAGGCCGGCGUCCGGGCGGCGGCCGUCACGGGGAGCAACUUCGUCGUCUCGCCGCUGUCGAUCCACGCGGCGCUCGCGAUGGUGGCCGCCGGCGCGCGGGGCGAGACGCGUAGGGAGCUCCUGGGGCUCCUCGGGUCAGCCUCGCUCGACGAGCUGCACCGCGCGCCGGCGAUCAAGCUUGUCGGCAGACUCAACGGACUAAAGCAGACGUCAUUCGCUUGCGGCGUGUGGGUCGACCGGAGGAGGGUGCUGAGGCCGGAGUUCACGGCCACCGGAGCGUCGCGGUACGCCGCCAUGGCGGAAUCCGUGGACUUCGUGUCGGGGGCAGAGCAGGCGGGGCGGCGCGUGAACUCCUUCGUGGCGGACGCGACGAAGCAGCGCAUCCAGCACAUCCUCCCUCCCGGCUCCGUCGAGGCGUCGACUCGUCCACGGCGGUCGUCCUCGCCAACGCGCUCUACUUCAAAGGGGCGUGGCCUGAGCCGUUCGACGUCUUCAACGCGCCGUUCCACACCCCAGGCGGCGCCACCGUGCGCGUGCCGGCCAUGACGACAGGCCGGUCACAGUACAUCGCGCUCUACCCGGGCUUCAGGGCCCUCAAGCUGCCCUACAGGAACGACGGCGACCGCGCUGCUGCAUUCUACAUGCUUAUCCUUCUCCCGGACAGCGGCGCUCUCAGCCUUUCUGCUCUCUACGACAAGGUGGUGUCAUCGCCGGAGUUCAUCAGGAAGCACACGCCAGAAGAGGAGGUU
rnacentral:rRNA from 1 species